GUCUUUACCUGUCUACCUGUGACGUCAUCCAGGUGUUUCAAGAUGGAGGCGCCAGUGAGGAUUGUGCUGUUUACAUUAUAUACACUGUUGACUACAGUGCAAGGUGACCUGGUUGUGCAGGGAACGCAUGGCUGUGGGUCAUCCCAGUAUCCGAAGGAGGUGCGCAUCACAGACCGUAACGAGGAGACAAUUUUCUCUCAGACAAACCAGUACUAUGACUCUCGCCGGGAUUGCAUCCUCACCAUCAUUGGCAAACGCAACUAUCAGCUGCAGCUCGAACUCACCUCCAUUGACAUCGAUCAGUACGCGUUCACUACCGAGCACUGUGGAGGCUUGUGUUGUACAGACUACCUCAAGAUAUUCAACAGUUAUCGAGUAGACAAUGCCCGUCUCUUGCCCGGCAUGUCACAAUGGGGUAUGUGUGGCAACGAACUUCCAAAAAGAACUAUUUGGCAAACGACUAACAACUUCGUGACGAUCCAGUUUCGCACUGAUGAACGUACAGACUACAAGCGUGGAUUCACAAUGAGGUUCAAGCAGUAUCCCUGGAGAAACCCGGGCAAUGUUUUCCCUGAUGGCGGUUAUUUCGGAGGGUGGAAUGAUGGCAGCAAGAAGGAGCUACAGGUGGAUUGGAGCGACCAGAGUCAGAUUCCCGGAGAUUUUGUGCCCCCUGGAGGGGAUGGGGACUAUGAUGGGGGCAGCAGUGGGAUCCAGUGUUACGAGUGUCAGGGAUGUGAUGUUGACUACUUUGACCCUGACAGUGAGUUCGCAUCCGUGCAGGCGGGGUGCUACACAUGCUCAAAGACGUGGAGAGAUCAGUUUGCCUCAGCCCAGAGACGAUGUUUCACAAAAAUACAGUACACCAACUUGCUGCUCACUCUCUCAGAUCCGUCAGUCGGUGGUGGAAAGGUAACAGAAUUCCGUGGAUGUCGACGUUUUCUCGAUGCAUAUGGUGUAUUCCUCAACUACUGUUUCUGUGAUGGCAACUUAUGCAACAGUGCUAAGAGCCUUAGACUGAGUGGAUUAUCCCUGUUGUGUUUCUUCACUGCUCUUAUCUUGUCCUACAGCUUGUAAUCAGAUUUAAACACACAACACCUGUCAUAUGUCUGUCAAAUCAUUAUAUUAAUGAACAAGCUAUUGUGUUGGGCUAACAUUAAUGAAGCAUAUAUCAGAAACGAUUGUUUUAGAUAAAUAUAAAUAACAUGCUAAUAUGAAUGAUAAAGCCAUUAAUAUAUUCAAAUUCAGGAUCAGAAAUAAGCAUUUGUCCUGACAAUGAAGAUCUACUCGCAAAAUGCCUGUCACUGGUUAUCCCAUGGACAAGAUGAAAAUUACACAUUGUUUAAUUUUAAGCAAUUGUAAAUGUUUUUGGACAAGUAAAAACAUUGAUGGAUUAAUAGUUUCUGGCACCCGUCCUUUUAUAGAUAUCUAAAGAAAAUCAAUCCUUGGAGCGAGCUUUAGCUUCAGAAAAAACAUCUACAAAAGGACGAGUGCCAAAAAUAUUUUGUAGUUCAAUGAUUCUUAUAAUUUUAGUAUAAUGAUUAUAAAAUUCACUGCAUUUUAGUUUUGUACCGUGAUGUCACUCAUUCUCUCAGCUAUAUUACAUCACUAAAAGGAAUGCAUGCAGCGUUGCAUAUUAUGUGAUGUUAGGUACAACGUUAGCUACGACGUUAGCUUAGAGAAUUACGUAUUCAACAGGUACAAACGGCUGCCUACCUCCUAAAUGAGGAGGCCAAUUAAUCAAUGAAAAUGGUGCAUUACCAUCUUGGGGACGUGUGCUAGACGGUUUUUCUAGGAAGGCUUUCUGGCACCUUUCUACUGGUUGAUUGGACUAGAAAUGUAGAUCCUUUGAUGUCUUUGUCCGGUGGACUAGUGAAAAAUUCUGCUUAUUCAGUCACUGACUUAGUUCAUAUCUCUGCACAUGACAGAGUCUAAAUGAUAUUUUGACAAGUUAACAGUAUGAUCCCAUGAAAUACUGGCAGGUGCUUGGUCUAUAGGACGGCCAUUCUCGAGAAUAAUACAUCCUUCCUUCGUCAUCUUUAGGAAGAAUGCUGGUGAUGUGUGUGCUUUGUAGCAGUUUGCUUUAGACCUAAAAAAAAUUGUGUGUUUCAGGGGUAGGCCUGCAUGUCAAAAACAAAUUAGACAUUAGUAAUUGUUUUGGGGUUUUUCUCCUUUUUUUCAUUGUUUUACUACAUUCAUCCGUAGGAGUCCAGAUAAAUAUUAUGUAUGUACUCUUUUUCUUUUUUGUUUCAACUACAUAUUGAUAAUAAGAAAUAUGAAGAAAACCUAAAUAUGUCAAAAAAACAAAACAAAAUACUUGAGGUCGGCCCCUUUUUAUAGGUAGUAUUGGGUUCCUGGAAACAUAAUUUUGUUUUAGGCCUUAGCAAACUCAUUAUAAUAAUUUGUUUCAAUUUGUCAUAAUCAUAUUGUUUAUAAACAUCCAAUCAUUUUUAUACUGUUUUUAAGAUUGAUUUUUAAAAAUAUAUAAUCAUUUGUACGGUACCUUAUAUAAUAGAAAAAGAUUUGCUACAGCGAGCCUUCAGCACACUUAAAAAACCCAAAAAUAAACAGGAAAAUAAAUGUUACAGAAAGAUGAUUUUUUUUAGUUUGUUACAACAGUGAUGUAUAUUAUGUACAUGUAUAUCUGUUAUAGCUUAUAUUGUUCUACCUAUGCUGCAUUUUUUAGAAAUUGAUAAUUGUGCUGUCAUUAGCAUACUUCAUUGUAAAAUAAUAUGAUUCAGUAACACAUUGUCCAGUAUGAAAACAAUGUCUGUCUUGUUUUCAAUAAUUGGAAUACAGUCAAACCAGUGUUAAGCAGACACCAAAGGGAGUAUCAAAAGUGACCUUUUAAGACAGGUUGUUGUUUAACACAGGUCAGUUUGUACUAGAUUACAUGAUUUGGGAGUAUCAAUAUGUGGGCUCUUAACACAAAUGGCUGCUUUGUACAGGUGGCCACUGGAGCCACCUGUAUAAAGUGACCUUUUAAUAAUAGGUGGUUGCUGAACACACAUCAGUUUGUACUAGAUUACAUGGUGGCCACUAGAGCCACCUGUAUAAAGUGACCUUUUAAUAACAGGUGGUUGCUGAACACAUUAGUUUGUACAUCAGUUUGUACUAGAUUACAUGGUGGCCACUAGAGCCACCUGUAUAAAGUGACCUUUUAAUAAUAGGUGGUUGCUGAACACACAUUAGUUUGUACUAGAUUACAUGGUGGCCACUAGAGCCACCUGUAUAAAGUGACCUUUUAAUAACAGGUGGUUGCUGAACACAUUAGUUUGUACAUCAGUUUGUACUAGAUUACAUGGUGGCCACUAGAGCCACCUGUAUAAAGUGACCUUUUAAUAAUAGGUGGUUGCUGAACACACAUUAGUUUGUACUAGAUUACAUGGUGGCCACUAGAGCCACCUGUAUAAAGUGACCUUUUAAUAAUAGGUGGUUGCUGAACACACAUCAGUUUGUACUAGAUUACAUGGUGGCCACUAGAGCCACCUGUAUAAAGUGACCUUUUAAUAACAGGUGGUUGCUGAACACAUUAGUUUGUACAUCAGUUUGUACUAGAUUACAUGGUGGCCACUAGAGCUACCUGUAUAAAGUGACCUUUUAAUAAUAGGUGGUUGCUGAACACACAUCAGUUUGUACAUCAGUUUGUACUAGAUUACAUGGUGGCCACUAGAGCUACCUGUAUAAAGUGACCUUUUAAUAAUAGGUGGUUGCUGAACACACAUUAGUUUGUACAUCAGUUUGUACUAGAUUACAUGGUGGCCACUAGAGCCACCUGUAUAAAGUGACCUUUUAAUAAUAGGUGGUUGCUGAACACACAUCAGUUUGUACUAGAUUACAUGGUGGCCACUAGAGCUACCUGUAUAAAGUGACCUUUUAAUAACAGGUGGUUGCUGAACACACAUCAGUUUAUACUAGAUUACAUGGUGGCCACUAGAGCAGGUUUGACUGUAAUUUAAUUGUGCUAGCUGUGUGCAGACAUGUCAGUAAUUGAUCAGACGUUUUGUUGUAAAUCUUGUUUUUAACGAUCUCCGUACUUGGCACUAGUUGUUUCUGUAUUCACUUGUACAUGUUAACAAAGGACGAUUUGUGAUGUGUAUGUGUGACAUUCACUGAUGUGCCUCUGUAUAUAGCAUUGAUUUCCAUGGAAACAGGUUCACAAAGUGGACAUGUCAUUGUCAGCUUGUUUUAUAUUGUAACACUUAGUUUUGUUAUACAGUGUACUCUUUGUUUUACAUUCCAUUGACAUUACUAUGUAGUAUCUAAGCCAGCAUGGGUACAAGAUUUUGAAAAAGGGGGUGCAAAAUCUUAAGAUACAUGUGUAUUUAAAAAAGGGGGUAGGCAUGAAAUGUUAGUGUGCUAAAUAUUAUACAGACAAUCUGGUCUUUGUCAGCUUUUUUGGGGUAAUGUAUUCACUGUUUUACCAUGUGCUUUAUUUUAUAUUCCAUCAGGUCCCAUCCACUGUCAGAUUGAUGGCUUGGGGAAUGACAAUAUAUGUAUAGUAGGGCCUGAAUCUGUUGGGGGGGGGGGGGGGUAGGGGACAUGCUCACCAAGUUAACUUUGAAUUUCAGGUGUUAAAAUACAGCAUUUCCAGCCUUCUGAAGAGAGUAAUAGGGAAUUCCAGGUGAUGGGGAAAAAAUGUGAACCUUUGGUAAUUUGGGGAGGUGCGUAUAUACCCGGUGUACACCCCUCUCUCCCCCUCCCCCCCCCAUGUACAGGACAUGGGGCCCCUGCGGCCUCCCCUACUCAACGGCUUAUAUGCACUGUCAAAUUCUUUCACAUUAUUUAGCAGGGUGGGUGUAUAAUGUUACUGUAUUUGAGAAAGUUGAGAGGCAUGUAAUGUUAGCAUGCUGAAAUAAAAUAUAUGGAUAUACAGUGUUUGUAAAAAAAAAAAGGUGAGUGCACAUUCAGUUCACUCCAUGUAUUAUGCCUAGUACUUGCAGGUAUUUAGUGACAGUAGCUUAUUUUGUUUAACAACACCACCAGAGCACAUUGAUCUAUUAAUCAUUGGUUAUUGGAUGUCAAACAUAUGGUCAUUUUGACACAGACAUAAAGAGGAAGUGGCUAUUUAUAUAAGUGGUUUUCAUUUUACCUUUAGUUUCACAUUAUAUUUUCAUCAAUGUGUACAUGAUAUGACUUUAUCUUUACAUUCCACUGUCACAUAAUACUAAUGGCCAAGUGGUUAAGCCUUCCACUCAAGGGCUGGUAGAUUUUGGGUUGGCAUACCAGUACUGCUAAGUCCUGAUAUAACCAGUGAGUUUGAACAGAUAAAGCCCACCACACAAAUUUCUCUCUCACCUGCAGCUAACCAAUAACCUUUAACUGAACAGAUAGUCCAGAUAGCUGAGGUGUGUGCCUAGGACAACAUGCUUAAACUGUAAUUGAAUAUCAGCGUGAAAAUAAAUGGACAUAUCAUUAUUGUAUAUUAAUAUAAUGUGUGGUAUCAAUGGCAAGUGUGUACCCUGAUUUUGCAUUCCAGUCAUAACCUUUAGUAACAUUAUUACAUAGUAAUUGGUGCAUGUCUUUUUAUGUAUCCAGUGGCAAGACAAUGUGUACAUUCCACUGUUUCUGAAUUUCUUACUAACUAGCACAUGUACUUCAUAGCUAAUCAUGUGUCCCAAACCAAAAUAGUAACAGUUUAUGGAAUCUUUUCCCCAGCUAUUUUACAUUCCAGUGUCAUUUCUUUUAAGUCUUAUUUUGUUUUCAAAGAUUGUAUGAGGUGUUUUUUUAGCGUGUUUAAAAAAAAAAAAAGUAAUCCUAAUUUAAGCAACUUGUAAUUUAAUUAGGUUUCAAUUUAAAAAAUAAAUAAAUUGUGCAUUAAA
rnacentral:misc_RNA from 1 species